GACGAACGCUGGCGGCGUGCUUAACACAUGCAAGUCGAACGGAAAGGCCCUGCUUUUGUGGGGUGCUCGAGUGGCGAACGGGUGAGUAACACGUGAGUAACCUGCCCUUGACUUUGGUAUAACUUCAGGAAACUGGGGCUAAUACCGGAUAGGAGCUCCUGCUGCAUGGUGGGGGUUUGAAAGUUUCGUCGGUUGGGGAUGGACUCGCGGCUUAUCAGCCUGUUGGUGGGGUAGUGGCUUACCAAGGCUUUGACGGGUAGCCGGCCUGAGAGGGUGACCGGCCACAGUGGGACUGAGAUACGGACGAGACUGCUGCGGGAGGCAGCAGUGGGGAAUAUUGCAGAAUGGGCGGAAGCCUGAUGCAGCAACGCCGCGUGCGGGAUGACGGCCUUCGGGUUGUAAACGGAGUUCGCCUGUGACGAAGCGUGAGUGACGGAAAUGGGUAAAGAAGCACCGGCUAACUACGUG
rnacentral:rRNA from 1 species